UUUCAAAGGCUCCCCACAUGGGUUCCCCACAGGGUGGAGGGCACAGGUUUACACGAGCUGAAUUUUUUCAAACCAGUCUUUCUAGCACAACAGAACUGACAAGAGAUGAGAGUCCUGAAGACAUAGUCUGGGUACAGUGAGAAGAGCCCAGAAUGGAGGAAGCAUUCUUUUUUCCUCUAGGGAUAAAUUUUAGUUCAUGAUUUAAGUCAACAGAAGAGAAAAAUGUAAAUGCCUGAGGAAGUCAUGAAGCAGCGAUUCCUCCUAAGAGGCUGUAACCCCCACUGGGGAGUGUAUGUGAUCUUGAGGGAGUGGGGGAAGUAAAAAUGAGUCCUAAAAUAUUUUUAAAACAACAGAUGCCUUCCAGUGGGGGCCCUUUUGGAUGGAAGAAAGGGAUGGCCACCAAAGCAUCAGGUGUUAGGUCCACAAAGAC
rnacentral:lncRNA from 1 species